rnacentral:rRNA from 2 species
GGGUUGUGAGGUUAAGCGACUAAGCGUACACGGUGGAUGCCCUGGCAGUCAGAGGCGAUGAAGGACGUGCUAAUCUGCGAUAAGCGUCGGUAAGGUGAUAUGAACCGUUAUAACCGGCGAUUUCCGAAUGGGGAAACCCAGUGUGAUUCGUCACACUAUCGUUAACUGAAUACAUAGGUUAACGAAGCGAACCGGGGGAACUGAAACAUCUAAGUACCCCGAGGA